AAAAUCCGUCGACUUUUAAAAUCGUGAGGGUUCAAGUCCGGUUCAAGUCCCUCUAUCCCCA
rnacentral:tRNA from 1 species